rnacentral:rRNA from 1 species
UACAGAGGGUGCGAGCGUUUAAUCGGAAUUACUGGGCGUAAAGCGCGCGUAGGCGGCUUUGCAAGUCGGGUGUGAAAUCCCCAGGCUUAACCUGGGAACUGCAUUCGAGACUGCAUUGCUAGAGUAUGGGAGAGGGAAGUGGAAUUUCCGGUGUAGCGGUGAAAUGCGUAGAUAUCGGAAGGAACAUCAGUGGCGAAAGCGACUUCCUGGACCAAUACUGACGUCAUGUGCGAAAGCGUGGG